AAGUCGUAACAAGGUUUCCGUAGGUGAACCUGCGGAAGGAUCAUUACCAAUUAUAAAUCUCUUAACCCUUGUGCACUGUUGUGAAUGUCUCGGUUUUUGGGGUGGACUGUUUUACGGUUUGCCCCAGCCAUUUUGUUAAACAACUUAUAUUCUGUCAUGGCAUCAAAACUUGUCUUAAUAAAUAAUGACAACUUUUAACGGUGGAUCUCUUGGCUCGUG
rnacentral:misc_RNA from 1 species